CUACGGGAGGCUCCAGUGAGGAAUAUUGCACAAUGGGGGGAACCAUGAUGCAGCAACGCCGCGUGGAGGAUGACGCAUUUCGGUGUGUAAACUCCUUUUAUAUGUCAAGAAAAUGACGGUAGCAUAUGAAUAAGCGCCGGCUAACUCCGUGCCAGCAGCCGCGGUAAUACGGAGGGUGCAAGCGUUACUCGGAAUCACUGGGCGUAAAGGACGCGUAGGCGGGUUGGAAAGUCAGGUGUGAAAUCCUACAGCUUAACUGUAGAACUGCACUUGAAACUUCUAAUCUAGAGUAUGGGAGGGGGAGAUGGAAUUAGUGGUGUAGGGGUAAAAUCCGUAGAUAUCACUAGGAAUACCUAAAGCGAAGGCGAUCUCCUGGAACAUUACUGACGCUAAGGCGUGAAAGCGUGGGGAGCAAACAGGAUUAGAUACCCCAGUAGUC
rnacentral:rRNA from 1 species